rnacentral:lncRNA from 1 species
UAAGGUCUACUAAGGAAGUCAACAGUCUACAACAGUAAAAAUUAAGAAUACUAUGGGAUUGUGUUGGUGCUUAAUUCUUAAUCUACAUCUAAAUUCUAACAAACUUACAAAAUUGUUACAAAUAUUAUCGUAAUAUAUCAAAAUUUCAGGAAUCUAUGUAUUAGGAAUGAUGUCUAUUAGAAACAUUUCCAAGUUCCAACAACAAUCCCCUUCAUGUAAAAUCUUUGUUCUCGAAUGACAGGUUCUUCUACUAGUUGUGAUGUACAAAUUUUAAUAUGCAACACAAUGGAAUCACUUACUGAUUAGCCCUAUCAUACAUAUUUAUUAGCUUUCUAUUGAAAAUCUUAAUCUCAAUUAGACACCUUUUCUUCAGAUCAAUAACUGCCUAAUCUUCAUUUGUCCUGCAAUAGAGAAUGUUGAAUGUAAGUUAUAAACUUGAUAUUAAUUUUGGUUAAUGGAAUGUUGUUGGAUUAUAAAGUGUUGAAGUUCAAACUUGACUCACCUUUAUACAUACGGUAACUAAAUUUCAUAUGAUUUCUAUCAAUUCCAUGUAUCAUGUUUUAUUAUCAAUGAAUCAGUAACCAUAAAAUUCAUACAAAUUUGGUUCAUCAUCAAUUUCAAGUUAAUUACAAGCAACAAUUCAAUAUAUUUGAAGCAUCUCAACCACCAUAACACCAAGUUUCAUAUUUCAGCAAAAAAGAAAAUAGAAUCUGAUUUGCAUAAGACAUUAUCAUAACAAAUUUUCAUGUGCAUUUGAUUCGGCUCAAAGAGAAACCACAUAUGAUUUCAAUAUCAAGAAAACUCAACAUCUACAUCAGGAAAAGGGUAUCUUAUUUCAUAAAAAAUAGAGCAAAACAACCAUAAUAUCUUGAACUAUAUUUAAGAGGAAAAAGAAAAGAAAAAAAGCAACUACAUAUAGGCAUCUGAUAGUCAAUUUUCAGGGGAAAAAAGUUUCUUGAACUCUAUUUUGAUAUGUAAAGGAAAAGAAAACCCUCACCUACAGAAGUUUGCGGAGGCGGAGGCAUGGUUGUCGAAGUUGACAGAGGUUGAGGGGAAGCUGAUGGUGGCGGUGUUGCAGAUUGGAGCGGGGCAGACGGGAUAUUGUAGAUGGAGGAGAAAUGGGUAGGAUAGAGAAGAAGGGGAUGUUGAUGAAAGGAAAUGAAAAAAGAAGGCUCCCGUGUACAAUUUUGGAAGGAGAUGAACGGCGCCUUGUGUGAUGAAUGAUGCCUUGCAGUGGACUACCUUGGAUGGAGAUGAUUAUCGACUUUGGGAAGGAGAUGAAUGGCGCGUUGUGUAGCGCGGGAGCAGCUAACGUUGAUUUGAAAUUACCGAGAAGUUGAAAGAGAAA